rnacentral:rRNA from 1 species
GACGAACGCUGGCGGCGUGCCUAAUACAUGCAAGUUGAGCGAUGAAGAUUGGUGCUUGCCCCAAUUUGAAGAGCAGCGAACGGGUGAGUAACGCGUGGGGAAUCUGCCUUUGAGCGGGGGACAACAUUUGGAAACGAAUGCUAAUACCGCAUAACAACUUUAAACAUAAGUUUUAAGUUUGAAAGAUGCAAUUGCAUCACUCAAAGAUGAUCCCGCGUUGUAUUAGCUAGUUGGUGAGGUAAAGGCUCACCAAGGCGAUGAUACAUAGCCGACCUGAGAGGGUGAUCGGCCACAUUGGGACUGAGACACGGCCCAAACUCCUACGGGAGGCAGCAGUAGGGAAUCUUCGGCAAUGGACGAAAGUCUGACCGAGCAACGCCGCGUGAGUGAAGGAGGUUUUCGGAUCGUAAAACUCUGUUGGUAGAGAAGAACGUUGGUGAGAGUGGAAAGCUCAUCAAGUGACGGUAACUACCCAGAAAGGGACGGCUAACUACGUG